UACGUAGGGUGCAAGCGUUAAUCGGAAUUACUGGGCGUAAAGCGUGCGCAGGCGGUUGUGCAAGACCGAUGUGAAAUCCCCGGGCUUAACCUGGGAAUGGCAUUGGUGACUGCACGGCUAGAGUGUGUCGAGAGGGGGUAGAAUUCCACGUGUAGCAGUGAAAUGCGUAGAGAUGUGGAGGAAUACCGAAGUGGCGAAGGCCAGCCCCCUGGGAUAACACUGACGC
rnacentral:rRNA from 1 species